rnacentral:rRNA from 1 species
AUUGAACGCUAGCGGGAUGCCUUACACAUGCAAGUCGAACGGAGUGGCGAACGGGUGAGUAAGGGAUCGGGACGUGCCCCGGAGCGGGGGAUAACUACGCGAAAGCGUAGCUAAUACCGCAUACUCUUGGAGCGGACGGUAUCGAGUUAGGUAUGUGGUGGGGUACCGGCUAACCAGGGCGACGGUCCGGAGCUGGUGUGAGAGGACGACCAGCCACCCUGGGACGGAGACACGGCCCAGACUCCUACGGGAGGCAGCAGUGGGGAAUUUUGGACAAUGGGGGAAACCCUGAUGCAGCAAUCCCGCGUGUGCGAUGAAGGCCUUCGGGUUGUAAAGCACUUUUGGCAGGAAAGCGGUACCUGCAGAAUAAGCACCGGCUAACUACGUGCCAGCAGCCGCGGUAAUAC